rnacentral:rRNA from 1 species
GUCCACGCCGUAAACGAUGGAUACUAGCUGUUGGGGAGCAAUCUCAGUGGCUAAGCGAAAGUGAUAAGUAUCCCACCUGGGGAGUACGUUCGCAAGAAUGAAACUCAAAAGGAAUUGACGGGGGGCCCGCACAAGCGGUGGAGCAUGUGGUUUAAUUCGAUGAUACGCGAGGAACCUUACCAAGGCUUAAAUGUAGAUUGACCGGUUUGGAAACAGUAUCUUUCGCAAGACAAUUUACAAGGUGCUGCAUGGUUGUCGU